rnacentral:rRNA from 1 species
CUGUACAGCCAUGCCACCCUGAACACGUCUAAUCCCAUCUGAUAUCAGAAGCUAAGCAGGGUCGGGCCUGGUUAGUACUUGAGAAGACUGGUUACUGCAGGCA